rnacentral:lncRNA from 1 species
GAUGAGAGGCAGCUCUUCUGAGUUAAUGUAAUGCUGCUCAGAGAUGUAGGAGGUGAUAUCUCACUGCUGAGGAUGCUUGAACCUCCCGUCCCCACCUCUGCCAAGACAUGGCUGCAAGCUGGAUGCAAAUACCUGCUGGCAAGAUUUGGGUGGGGAAGCACUGGCUGUGGAAUGUCAUGUGUUACCUGUCAGCUCUCAAAAUGACACUUGGGCCUGAGUGGUUUGCAAAGGAAAAAAAGCAGGAAACUGAGUCUCACUCAUUUUGCUCACUUCUUGCAUCAUCGUCAGCAUAUGUGCUGUUGCAAUGGGAAGAACUCCAGGAGUGUUUAUGCCCAAGGGUGGAGAACAUGAGAGCCUGAGAGGAAUAAAGCAUAGCUGCUGUCUGAUGAAAUGCUGUGCUCUCUUCCUGCUAAGGAAGACAAGUGGCAGGUGAUCACAGAGGGUGUGGAGCUGCUCUGCAAGAAGUCAACAGGCAAGUGGAUAUGGCUUAUAAUAUGGCUGCUGUUCAACAAGGAAAAUACGUGAGACUACCUCUCCUGUUUAGUUUUUGGUACAUAAAAUUUGUGAUGUUCACCUUUGGCAUGUGGGUGGACUGCCAUUUUGGGUGGUGAUGGGGAAUACAACACUAAUUUGAGAGUCGGUGAUCAUGAUACAAAAGUGAUUGUAAGGCUGCACCCUGGUGCUUAUCUCUACUCUUUCUGUUGUUCAUUUCCUAUCUAUUGUUAUGGUUAUCACUUACAAUAAAAGAACAUUGAUUUACA